UGCACUUCGUAUCACUUUGGAAAGCGUAACGGGCAGCAGAUCACUCAAGUAUCGUCAACAUUUUUACAAACAACAGGGCGUGUAGUUUCAUUUCUGACUCACUUGCACUAUGUAACAUCUUGGAAAGCGAAACUGACAGCGAACAGGCCUGGGCCCAGUUUAAAGAGCACCUCGCGGAAUUCCCCAACGCUGAUCCGCAGAGACGAGGACAGUAACAGAGCGAAUCAUUACUGUCAACCAGACAACAAGGACUACAGAAAUACGCGUAUUUAAAAGUUUUAUGUAAUCUGCAAUUGGACACUAAAUCCUAUCAAAAAUAUUCACACGUUCAGCAAAGUGGACCAAUAGUAAUUCAGCCUGAAUGGAAAACCCAAACAGGGGCAGGAGAGGUAGAGGAGCCAACCAUGUCGAUCACAGAAUAGGUGCUGAGGCUGGUCAGAGAGAAGAGGAAGGGAUAGCCAACCCAGGGGGAAGGGGAAGGGGGGCCAGGGGAGGGAGGAGAGGUGUUAAUGGGGGGAACCCAAGGGAGGAUAGGAGAGCGCCAGACGCCAGGGGAGUAA